UGAGUAACGGUUUCCCCAAGGCGGCGCGGGUAGCCGGCCUGAGAGGGGGGCCCGCCCCCCCCUGGGAUGGGACCCGCCCAGACUCUUACGGGGGCAGCAGGGGGAAUUUUGCACAAUGGGGGAAAGCCUGAUGCAGCGACGCCGCGUGAGGGAUGACGGCCUUCGGGUUGUAAACCUCUUUCAGCAGGGAAGAAGCGAAAGUGACGGUACCUGCAGAAGAAGCGCCGGGCUAACUACGUGCCAGCAGCCGCGGUAAUACGUAGGGCGCAAGCGUUGUCCGGGAAUUAUUGGGCGUAAAGAGCUCGUAGGCGGCCUGUCACGUCGGAUGUGAAAGCCCGGGGCUUAACCCCGGGUCUGCAUUCGAUACGGGCAGGCUAGAGUUCGGUAGGGGAGAUCGGAAUUCCUGGUGUAGCGGUGAAAUGCGCAGAUAUCAGGAGGAACACCGGUGGCGAAGGCGGAUCUCUGGGCCGAUACUGACGCUGAGGAGCGAAAGCGUGGGGAGCGAACAGGAUUAGAUACCCUGGUAGUCCACGCCGUAAACGUUGGGAACUAGGUGUGGGCGACAUUCCACGUCGUCCGUGCCGCAGCUAACGCAUUAAGUUCCCCGCCUGGGGAGUACGGCCGCAAGGCUAAAACUCAAAGGAAUUGACGGGGGCCCGCACAAGCGGCGGAGCAUGUGGCUUAAUUCGACGCAACGCGAAGAACCUUACCAAGGCUUGACAUACACCGGAAACACCCAGAGAUGGGUGCCCCCUUGUGGUCGGUGUACAGGUGGUGAAUGGCUGUCGUCAGCUCGUGUCCCGAGAUUUG
rnacentral:rRNA from 1 species